UUUUUUUUUUUUUUUGGGUUCUUUUUUUCGGAGCUGGGGACCGAACCCAGGGCCUUGCGCUUCCUAGGCAAGCGCUCUACCACUGAGCUAAAUCCCCAACCCCGGUGCUAUACAUCUUUAAUCCAGCCCUAGGGAGGCAGAGGCUGGCUGAUCUCUGCAAGUCUCAGGCCAGCCUGGUCUACAUAGUGAGACAUUUCUAUUCGAUCUAGGUUCAAAUCCUAGCUGUGGUAUUCUCUGUGUAGGUUUGGGCAGUCACGGAACCUAACCUAACCUAGAGGGUAGAAACUCUGUCUCUGCGUCUGCUGUAGAUGUGGGGGGCUGGGAGCUCCCUGAAGGUCACCAUCCUGCAGAGUAGCAACAGCCGGGCUUUCAACACCACACCCCUCACAUCUGGACCUCGCCCUGGGGACUCCGCCUCUGCCACCCCUGCCCUUGCCAGCACACCCUCCAAGCAAAGCCUCCAGUUCUUCUGCUACAUCUGCAAGGCCAGCUGCAGCAGCCAGCAGGAGUUUCAGGAUCACAUGUCAGAGGCUCAGCACCAACAGCGGCUUGGGGAAAUGCAGCACUCGAGCCAGACCUGCCUGUUGUCCCUGCUGCCCAUGCCUCGGGACAUCCUGGAGAGAGAAACAGAAGAUCCUCCACCCAAACGCUGGUGCAACACCUGCCAGGUGUACUACAUGGGAGACCUGAUCCAGCACCGCAGGACACAGGAGCACAAGGUUGCCAAGCAGUCCCUG
rnacentral:lncRNA from 1 species